AGUGCUAUUGCUGAAUCAUAUGGUAAGAGUAUGUUUAUUUUGUAAGGAACUGCCAAACUGUCUUCCAAAGUGACUAUACCAUUUUGAAUUCUUACCGGCAAU
rnacentral:pre_miRNA from 1 species